UGAUGCUGUUUCGCCGGUUGAAUAUAAAACGGCAAAUCUAUCGGAUUUCAUACUCUAUUAGACUUCCACCGUCUACCCCGUUCCCCACCCCCCUCGCCAAUGCCUACCAGUCGUGCUCGGCGGCUGACGUGCAUUCAUCCAAUUCAAUUCCGUCGCUAAACUGGGGAACUAUUCUAUUUAUUUUUAUUUUUUAUUUUUUCUAAUGAUUCCUCGCUCGCCUAUCCGCGAGGGGUUUAUAAUGUAUACAAUACGACGACGACAACGCGCGACGUAUAGCUUUUGAAAUUAUAUAGG